rnacentral:rRNA from 1 species
CCAUUCGUGCUAAAAAGAAGGCAAUAUCCAUUAUCAGUGUGCUUCGCAAUGAUGAUAAACAAGAGUUAGAGUCAGUCCUUAAACAAGGUGGGAAUAUAUUUUCCUAAGCAAGUGUUCUGCCAUGGACAACUAUAUGUGGCCCUAUCAAGAGUGACAAGCAAGGAAGGAUUGAAGGUGCUGAUCGAUGACAACUAUAAUUCUUCAUAG